rnacentral:rRNA from 1 species
GAUGAACGCUGGCGGCGUGCCUAAUACAUGCAAGUCGAGCGAACGGACGAGAAGCUUGCUUCUCUGAUGUUAGCGGCGGACGGGUGAGUAACACGUGGAUAACCCACCUAUAAGACUGGGAUAAAUUCGGGAAACCGUAGCUAAUACCGGAUAAUAUUUUGAACCGCAUGGUUCAAAAGUGAAAGAAGGUCUUGCUGUAACUUAUAGAUGGAUCCGCGCUGCAUUAGCUAGUUGGUAAGGUAACGGCUUACCAAGGCAACGAUGCAUAGCCGACCUGAGAGGGUGAUCGGCCACACUGGAACUGAGACACGGUCCAGACUCCUACGGGAGGCAGCAGUAGGGAAUCUUCCGCAAUGGGCGAAAGCCUGACGGAGCAACGCCGCGUGAGUGAUGAAGGUCUUCGGAUCGUAAAACUCUGUUAUUAGGGAAGAACAUAUGUGUAAGUAACUGUGCACAUCUUGACGGUACCUAAUCAGAAAGCCACGGCUAACUACGUG